AAGAAAGUGGAUCACUCUUCAAAAGUCAUUGGUAUCAUGACCAAUUUUGUCUAUGCUGGUCUAGAAACAAGGGCUGGCUCAACUUCCCCACAGGCUCUCCCCUACUAGAGAAAGUGAGCGUGUGCAGUGUCACCUCCUGUCCACUGGUAGGCAGUAAAGCACAGUUGGAUGAGGAAUGUAUCACUGCGGAUGCUGCUGCAGGACUGAGGGAAACAACAGCAGAAACAGCAGUACAAGAUGGCGUUAUGCUCCAGUGGUUCUGCAUCAAUGAAGAUGAGUCCAUUUGGGAGGUCAGCCAUGUGAAUUUUGACCUCAAAUUUUCCUGUCUGUCUGUAAAGUAGGUAUCACAUGGUACAUAAACCUCUGUCAAUCAACUCGGCCACCACUGAAAUAUUCACAGUUGAAUAUUGCUUUUUCAGUUGAAAAGCAUUUGUUUG